rnacentral:rRNA from 1 species
GACGAACGCUGGCGGCCUGCUUAACACAUGCAAGUCGAACGGGACCUUCCGGGCUCUAGUGGCGGACGGGUGAGUAACGCGGGAGAAUCCGCGUUUUUGAGGGGGAUAUCGGUUGGAGACGACCGCAAAUACCCCAUGUUCCUAGAGGCAAAAAGUUAUUCGCGAAGGGUGGGGCUGGCGUCGGUUUAGCUAGUUGGUGGGGUAAGAGCCCACCAAGGCGACGUGCCGUAGUUGGUGUGAGAGGAUGAGCAGCCACACUGGGGAGGUGACACGGCCCAGACUCCGACAGGAGGCAGCGGUGGGGAAUUUACCGCAAGGGGCGCGAGCCUGACGGAGCGAGACGGGGUGGGGGACGGCGGUCUGUGGGUUGUAAACCUCUUUUUACAGCGAAGAGGUACUGACGGUACCGGGCGAAUAAGCCCCGGCUAACUCCGUG